UACAGAGGUCUCAAGCGUUGUUCGGAUUCAUUGGGCGUAAAGGGUGCGUAGGCGGCGCGGUAAGUCGGGUGUGAAAUCUCGGAGCUUAACUCCGAAACUGCAUUCGAUACUGCGGUGCUUGAGGACUGGAGAGGAGACUGGAAUUCAUGGUGUAGCAGUGAAAUGCGUAGAUAUCGUGAGGAAGACCAGUGGCGAAGGCGGGUCUCUGGGCCGAUACUGACGCUGAGGAGCGAAAGCGUGGGGAGCAAACAGG
rnacentral:rRNA from 1 species